rnacentral:rRNA from 1 species
GUCUAUGGCCAUGCCACCCUGAACAAGCCUGAUGUCUGAUCUCAGAAGCUAAGCAGGGUUGGGCCUGGUUAGUACUUGGAUGGGAGACCACUUAGGAAGACUAGGUGCUGUAAACA